UGCCAGCCUCUUGGUGGGUGUUGGGCUGGGGGAUGGACGGGACGGAGUGAGCCCUGGGUGGGCAGUACCUCGGGGACACAGAGCGACCUCGCCUUCCCCAAGGGGGUCUUCUGGACGCGUGCAUGGAGGAGUCCCGGCCAUUCGCGUCGCCGGCUCUAACCCAGGAGGCGGCUCCAGGAAACAGCCCCAGCCAGGCUGGAGGCCGAUUAGGACUGUAACAAAGAGGAAGCCACACACAGAAGUGAGAACGGGACAAGGAUACUUCGGGAGAAAGAGCGUUUCUUCUGCGGGAGCACGUAGGCUGCCUGCAUUUCAGCCGUGAAAAUAAGACCGUGAGGAGCCAAGGAUACCCCUGCCCCUGGCCCCUCGUGAGAAGCCAGGGGUCCCCCCCAGCCCCUAAGGCCCCAGAACCCACGCCAAGAGGGGGCUGCCUCUCCCCCUGGACUUCGCCCUGCUUCCCAGCCCGGCCCUCGCUCCAGUGGGACCUGCGUGGCCAUGGCUUUCCUCUGGCUGGCGGUGUUGCUGAUGCCCGUCUCCUGCCUUCUGUCAGUGCACCAGGGUAGGACAAGCCCAAGGGAAAACGAUCCAGACGCACCGAUUAGGAACUUAAGGAUAGAGCCGGAAAGUGGACGGCUGAGCUGGGACUCCACGGAAAUGUCUCCGAAAUUACGUGUUACAUCAAUUCGAACGUGAAAAGCGAAAGGCACAGAACAACAGGUACUGCGCCGUUCAGCCCAUCCAUGCUCAGUGACCAACUACACGGUCUCCGUGAACCAAGGGCCGCCGUUGUCCACGUUCUCCACGUGGAUCCUGUAUCUGAGCCAGAAGGGAACCCAAGGCGGCGGCAAACCUGACUGCUGGAUUCACGAUGUGCACUUCCUGACGUGCAGUGGGCGCCGGGCCGUGCGGCGCCCCGGACGUGCGCUACCGUCUCUACCUGGAGAAUCCACUGUCCAUCAGAUGUGGGAGUGUGUCCACGACGAAGCUGACCCUCGGGGGACACACUUCCAGUGUCGCUUCGACAUCUCCGCCUUGUCUGACAAACUGGGCCGCUUAGCCGUUUCCUGGUCAACGGCAGCACAGCAGCGGCUCCAGAAUCCCCUGCUCUGAACUUACGAGCCAACUGUCCCCGAUGGAGAUACUCACCGCCCCCAACAUCACAAACAGUUGGUGUAACCAAAGCUAUGCUAUCAUGCGGUGGACAGUGCAAAGUAACUUCAACUUUCAUUUCAAGUAUGAAGUUCAGAUACAGAAGGGCGAGGACCAGGCCUACAGUCAGGAGGUGGAGAGAAACUCCUUGUGGCUGUACAAUCCUGGAACCUACACGGUAAAAAUAAGAGCCAAGGACGCCAGUUUCAAUCUCCCCUGGGGCGACUGGAGCGCCCCCCAGCGCUUCGUGUGUGACGGAGAGAAGGGCACGGUCUUGCCGGCCUGGCUGACCUCUUUGCUGAUCGCGCUGGGGAUGCUGCUGGCUCUGGGGCUUGUGCUCCUGUUAUGCAGAAGGUUCUCAGUGAGGCAGAAGCUGCUCCCGCCCAUCCCUCACCUGAAAGACCCCAUCAGUGACAACCUGCAGAACGAAAGGAUGAUGGCGUGGGACCCCGAGCAGGAGAGCCGGGAGGAGUGUCCCGUGGCCGAGGUGCAGGUUUUGGGGGAAACAUGAAGUUGGUGCGCGGGACUCGCUCUCGGCUGGUCGCCCUUGGACGUGGACGUUGGAGGCGGGGGCAGGGGUGGGGAAGCGCGGUGCAGUGUAGGUGCUGCUGCUGCCUCGCGCAAGGGGACUCUGUGUUGCGCUCAUUUCUCCAAUAAAGGGCCUGAAUUUUCACCC